rnacentral:rRNA from 1 species
AACGAACGCUGGCGGCAUGCCUAACACAUGCAAGUCGAACGAGACCUUCGGGUCUAGUGGCGCACGGGUGCGUAACGCGUGGGAAUUUGCCUCGGGGUACGGAAUAACUCAGGGAAACUUGAGCUAAUACCGUAUGAUGUCUUCGGACCAAAGAUUUAUCGCCCUGAGAUAAGCCCGCGUAGGAUUAGCUAGUUGGUGAGGUAAGAGCUCACCAAGGCGACGAUCCUUAGCUGGUCUGAGAGGAUGAUCAGCCACACUGGGACUGAGACACGGCCCAGACUCCUACGGGAGGCAGCAGUGGGGAAUAUUGGACAAUGGGCGAAAGCCUGAUCCAGCCAUGCCGCGUGUGUGAAGAAGGUCUUCGGAUUUGUAAAGCACUUUAAGUUGGGAGGAAGGGUAGUAACCUAAUACGUUGCUACUUUAGACGUUACCGACAGAAUAAAGCACCGGCUAACUUCGUGCCAGCAGCCGCGGUAAA